GAGAGUGUAGAGGCCCCGGACUUCGGCCCUGAAGUCUAGGGGUAAGAGCGCCACUGCCAGGUUCAUUAUGAAAAAGAAUGUGUGAAAGGAAUUGAAAUGCAAUCCAGUUUGGUAAAGGCUUUGUUAGUAUUAAUUGUAAAGAUGGCACUGUCACUUUAAAAAGGAAAGCCUGGGAAAAGGGAGGGAAAAACCCCAGAAUAGUUCUGGUGUUGGCCUGGGAAGAGAGCAGCAAGUUUAUAAAAGUAUCUGCUGACUGCUGAGCUGUGAAUCAAUAAAUUUGAUUCCCUCCUGCCCCACAAUCUCCUUGCAUUGCGGUGUAAUAAAUGCACCUGCACUGCACCAAACUACAGUUCCCAGGAUGUGUGUGUGGCACGACUAUGGAGACUAAGGAAAUAAUUGCUUACCUAAGAGCACCUCAUCAAUUCAUAGUUAAGGUCAGAGACCGAAAUAGAACUGAACUGAAGUUUUCAUGCGUAAAGAGAAAUUCCUAUUCAUUUCUCAGUUCAAGGGCCUGGCUGUUUGCCUACCUCUGCUACUAGGAUCCAUGACCCAUAAGAUCAACCAAAAUACUUCCCUUGCCAUUUUUCAUCAAAUCCUGACAACAACUGUACCCGGCGCAGAAUUUUUAGUAGCUGCAUCUCCACUCUAGUUUUAGAAGCAGUGUAAAAUAUUUUUAUUCAAAUUGGCUUUUGGUAGCCAGGGAUAUGGUAGGAUAGAGAAAGCUGGGGUUUAAUCAAUGUAAUUGGGAGUUCUAUAAUUAACAUAUAGUUAAUUACAAUAAUUAACCCCUUGGGAAGGGGUGGACUAUAAAUCAAAUUAAAUAAAUGUAUUAGCGAAUGCAAACAUUGGUUACAAGAUUUCAGCCAAGUCUAGUGCAAAGAAAAUAUAGAAAUAUUACACACAUA